GAGAGCCGGAUGCGGGAAAUCUGCAUGUCCGGUUCGAUGAGCGGGAUGUGGAAACGGAGCUACGGUGAGGUUACUCGGGC
rnacentral:ncRNA from 1 species